ACCUGAACGGGAGCAUAUUUUUGAGGUCGAAAAGUUCGGCAUCCAUUUACUAUACGAGAAAGCUGAUGAAGCAGCAUUGAUUAUAUAUAGACCUGAAGAUAACAUGGGUGUGGGUGUGUUCCAUGGAGACUUGGAUAGAUCAGGAGUAGAAGUUGCUAGUGCUAGGGGAACUACAUCAAAGAGAGAACGUGAUGACCUCAAUGACAACAAUGACUAUGAUGUAGCAGCAGUAGGACCCGGUCGAAGUGGCGGAUUCGAUGAUCAGGAGGAGGACCACUUCAAUAUCAAAAGGUUUAGGACCAAGUGAAAGUGGCUGCUUUGACUAGGACUGCAAUAUUUGGGAAUAGAGUGCCAUGGUCGAGAUCUUUCAGAUAUGAGGAAGCAAGACCUUUUCUGAAUGUGACAUUCAUAGCAGGAGAGCCAUGGUUGAGACUAUUCUAGUAUUUUCUUGUGUUUCAUUUCUUUUAGAUGAUGUGGGAAUUGCUUUACAUUAAUGGCAAAAAAUAGUCCAUUUCUGGUACAAAAAAUUUGAGCAUUUGUCCACUUUCUUCAUUUUUGAAGUGGAAAUGACUGUAGAAAUAGACAAAUUGAAAGAUUGCUUGUUCAAACUCCAGCACACUGGCCUCUAUAUGAACAACAAAGGUACAAGGUACAAGCACAACAGACACACUAGAAGUUACAAAGGGUAACUGGACAAGAUCCAACUCAUCAGUGAGCUUCUAAUUGAAUGGAUCUUUGUCGUCUAUUUCUAAAAUAGUAAGUUAAGAAUUGAACUCAUCAAAGAUUUCUAACCUCAUUACUGUACACCUAAAACUACCCAAUUUGGAUCAUUAUGGAGACGAUGCUAAUUGCCCUAAAUCCUUUUCUGUUGUUAACAUUUCUCUUUGGAUUGCUGAUAGCCUUGUACACAGGAUCAUUAUUGAUGGCUCAUGGAUGAAGGAUACGUUGCUUGCAGGAGGAGCUUGGGUAGCUUUGGAUGAAUUUGAUAGACAGACUACCGUGCACACUGCAGGCUUCUUUGCAUUAUCGGCAUCUACGGCAGAAGCCAAGGCCUGUCUUGAUGCAGCUUGAAGGCCUGUAGAUCACAAUGUCAAGACUGUUAACAUAUACACAUCAGCUGAAGCUUGGAUCGGCGGUCUAUUGUCAAGGAUAUUAAGAUGUUCUGUAAUACGGUUGAGUAUAUUUGUAUUACAGAAGUCCCUAGGAAUGUUGUUGGUGUAAGCCCAUAGAAAGGCAAAAGCUGCUCUUAGAUGAUACAGGAAAUUUUUUGUUGUGCUUUUGUAUAUAUAUAU